rnacentral:rRNA from 1 species
UACGGAGGGUGCGAGCGUUGUCCGGAAUCACUGGGCGUAAAGCGUGCGCAGACGGUUGCGUAAGUCAGAUGUGAAAUCCCCGGGCUCAACCUGGGAACUGCAUCUGUGACCGCAUCGCUGGAGUGCGGCAGAGGGGGAUGGAAUUCCGCGUGUAGCAGUGAAAUGCGUAGAUAUGCGGAGGAACACCGAUGGCGAAGGCAAUCCCCUGGGCCUGCACUGACGCUCAUGCACGAAAGCGUGGGGAGCAAACAGG